ensembl:lncRNA FLICR FOXP3 regulating long intergenic non-coding RNA
GGAUGGGAUCUCCUGCUCCUGUUCCUCCCGCUCCUGCCCACGGCGGGCUGCGCGGGACGUAGCGCGCUGGGUGGUCGCAAAAGGAAGCCCAGCCGUCGUGUGAGGCCCGCACGUGCACCGCCUUCUCGAAGGAGCGGUUCAGCACGCGUACCAACCCGCGCAGCACCGGCGGGCGGCCCCCAGGCACCCACACCCCGGCACCCCCGGGGACCGCUCCGGGAGGCGGCAGCAGCGCCUCCAGCUCCACCAUGACGCGCCCCAAGCGCUCCAGACGGCCCGGCGCGGGCGGCAGCGAAAAUGUGGGGACCAGCCAGGCCAUCAGGCCCAUUCUGGGCUUUUCCAGAAGGGUCUGAAGCCAGUCUUGUAGAGGGCUGGAGUGGUUGUUGGACGACUAGAACCCUGGGCUUUGCAGGGUGCUGGGAGCUGGAAGUCUUCACCAUGGCCUGUCAGGAGAAGCCCCUGGGGGCUGGUCUACCAUGCUGACCAGUGGUUGAAUAGAGUGCCUGCUGAGGUCAAGAGAUGCAGCCGCCAAUUCCUGGACAACCUAAAAGCCUCACAAGCUUCAAGUCUCCAAGGACUCUCCAAAUCCCAGGAUCUCCCUGCCAUCACAUCCUAGAAUUUAAAACCUGAGAACAUCAAGUUCAGGAAAGCUUGGGGAUUUCAAAGCCCAGCACCAAAGAAAGCGGGACCCACACUCGCCAGCUCUGUGAUCUUGGGCAAGUUGCUUGACUACUUAUACCUCCGUUUCCCUCAUCUGUAUAACAGGAAUACAAUAAUGAUGAGAUGGAGCUCAAGGGGCCAUGGUGAGGAUUGAACAUGAUCACUUGUGAGACAUGUUCAGCACUGUAUCUGACCCAUGGAAAAUUCAAGAUAAACAUCAGCUACUGAGAUGAUGGCGGAUAUUUGGAAUCCUAAAUCCUUGGAAACUGGGGCUUUUUGAAGUAAAAGACCCCAAAGGCUGAGGGCCUCAGAAGCAUCAGGCCAUGAUGUUCCUGAAACAAGAGGGUCAGGGUCCCAAUGGGCCUCUGGGGUUCAUCGUGAGGAUGGAUGCAUUAAUAUUGGGGACCUGCUAGGGACCUUCCCAGUGGGACAGUGGCUGGGUCAGGGCACUCAAGCCCUAAAACGUGAUGAGGCGAGACUUUUCUCUCUUUCCUCAUUCAGUAACUGUCAGUAGAUUCUGGGAGCCAGGGAUUCUCCGACUCUUCAAGUCCAUGAAUUUUAGGGGAUGACAGUGGGCUCUCCGCUUUCUCCUCCAUGAAGUAACUUACAUGCCCCUCACCCUCUGUGGGAGGGGUGUUGCAGGGGGUGCAGAACUCCCCUCGCCGGGUAGUUCAAGCAAUGGGGACCAUAUCAAUUCCAUCUAUAGGGAAACUGAGGCCUGGAGUAGGGCGAGGCCUCUGGGAACCCAGCCCUAUUCUGUCUCUUUCCCUGGCAUUUCCCAUCCACACAUAGAGCUUCAGAUUCUCUUUCUUUCCCCAGAGACCCUCAAAUAUCCUCUCACUCACAGAAUGGUGUCUCUGCCUGCCUCGGGUUGGCCCUGUGAUUUAUUUUAGUUCUUUUCCCUUGUUUUUUUUUUUUCAAACUCUAUACACUUUUGUUUUAAAAACUGUGGUUUCUCAUGAGCCCUAUUAUCUCAUUGAUACCUCUCACCUCUGUGGUGAGGGGAAGAAAUCAUAUUUUCAGAUGACUCGUAAAGGGCAAAGAAAAAAACCCAAAAUUUCAAAAUUUCCGUUUAAGUCUCAUAAUCAAGAAAAGGAGAAACACAGAGAGAGAGAAAAAAAAAACUAUGAGAACCCCUCCCCACCCCGUGAUUAUCAGCGCACACACUCAUCGAAAAAAAUUUGGAUUAUUAGAAGAGAGAGGUCUGCGGCUUCCACACCGUACAGCGUGGUUUUUCUUCUCGGUAUAAAAGCAAAGUUGUUUUUGAUACGUGACAGUUUCCCACAAGCCAGGCUGAUCCUUUUCUGUCAGUCCACUUCACCAAGGUGAGUGUCCCUGCUCUCCCCUACCAGAUGUGGGCCCCAUUGGAGGAGAUGGCAGGGAGGUAGGCACGGCGGGGGGGUCAGGGGCCCUCUGGUACAGUGGGAUGUACCCAGCUACCGUGAUUCCAGCCAGGUAAGGUCUUUAAAAAAAUAAUAGAAUAAAUGGCAGAAGACUUAAAGGUGAAGUACUUAAUGCAUGGGCAGGGGCAAAAAUAAAUGAAUUCAUCAAUUGAUACGUAGAUGGAUAGGAUUUUUAAAAUAUGUCAGCUGCCAGUCUUUAUGGAUUUCAGAGCUUUGAACAACUUGAAAUGCUGUCCAGGUGCAACUGAAAAUUUCAACUGCAUCUCUCUCAUCUCUUUGUCUCUUAGCUCUUGAUGCCUCUCAUCCUUCUCUGUCUCUCUGCUCACCCUGUCUUGCUCUUUUACAUGUUUCUCUGCCUCUCUUUCUCCCGCCAUCUGUCUGUCGCUACACUCAGACUCUCUUUCCCCGCAUCUCUCCUGGCCUCUGACCAUCUCCCCUAUCUCUGUCUCCUCCAUCUUGACCACACUCCAUCGAUCUCCUUUCCUCCAUCUCUCCCGCUCUCUUUUCUUGCCUUCCCCCACCUGCCUUCCCAGCCAGCAUCCAGCCUAGAGCUUUGUACACAGCUGGCGUUUAAUAAUAGUAAUGUCGCCGAGGACCUUUACAUUUUAUGAGAGUGAGCAUCAGUUCUGUUCACCCUAGUAGCAGGAGGAUUGCAAGGUGCCGGGGCAAGCUGAGCACUUAACUGAACUUUGCUUGUAUCGCUUUAGAGGAGACCCUUGGGGCGGGGGGGCAGGGAGCACUUCACACCAUUGUCAACCGUAGUUUAGCUGUGUGGACCUACCCCAGGACUGCAUGUGUGUGACCAGAGUCCAUAUUCAGGAAGCAAACAGGUUGUUCAGGGCUGGGGUGAGCUCGAUUCUGCAGGCUUAGCACAGCGUUUGGCACAAAGUAAGUGCUCACGAAGUGUUAGCUAUUAGUAUUUCUGUAACCAAAUUAGAAUCAUGCUAUAUAUUGGUUUUGUUCCUGCUUUAUUCAAUUAACAGUAGUGUUUUUGAAGCUUACUAAAAAUUGUUUGAACACAUGAUCUUUCAUGAUGGACAAGACUGUCCUCACAUCAGCAUGAACUUUGAUUGAUUUGACCAAGUGCCGAUUGUUGGACAUUCCGGUUGUUUCUCGUUUUUUUCUAUAAACAUCCCUGACUGCUUCCUUGGAUUCCUGAAAAGGGAGUUGCUGGGGCAAAGGGGGCGUGCAUUUUUAAAGUUUAUGACCCUCUCUGCUAAUUCUCCUUCCAAAAGGUUGUCCUAUUUUAUGCUCCCUCUACUUAAGCUAACCCUAGGUGAGUAUUAUUAUGUUUUAAUUAUUUCCCAACAUGACAGGUAAGAAAAACACAUUAUCACAUUGUUGAAAUUUGCAUCUUGUGAUUACUUUUACUAUUCAUUGGCCAUUCAUGCUUUUUUUUUUUUUUUUUUGGUUGUCUGGUCAUGUCCUUACUCCUAAUAGGGUGUUCAUCUUAUUUUUCCCUUAUUGAUUUGCCACAGCUCUUUAUUUGGAAUGGUUAUUAACCUUUCAUCAGCCAUUACAUAUAUAGCAAAUAUUUUCCCCAAUUCAUCAUUUGCUUUUUUUCUAUUUGUUUAUGGUGUUUUUUGUGAUGCUUAUGAUGGUUUUAUACAGUCAAAUAGGUUAGUCUUUUUUUCUGUGGCUUCUGUCUCUGGUUUUGUGCUUAGAAAGUCCUUUCCUACUUGAAAAUGAGAUAAAUGUUCACCUAUGUUGGCUUCUA